GCUCAGUUUUCCACUUUCACUGCUUAAACCUUUUUCCGGCGCCGCCACCGUCAACGGCAUUCUACUUUCAGUUGUUGAGCUUCAGCUUUUGGGUUUCAGCUUGGUAUCUCCAAUUUCUUUCUAAUGGCGAUUGACAAACUCUUCAAAGAUGAAGCCACUGAGGAAAAGGGUGAGCGAGCUAGGAUGGCAUCCUUUAUCGGAGCAAUGGCAAUUGCUGACUUGGUAAAGACAACCUUAGGACCUAAGGGAAUGGAUAAAAUUCUGCAAUCAACAGGCAGAGGACACAGUGUUACAGUCACCAAUGAUGGUGCAACAAUUUUGAAGUCCCUUCAUAUAGAUAAUCCAGCUGCCAAGGUCCUUGUCGAUAUCUCCAAGGUACAGGAUGAGGAAGUUGGUGAUGGGACAACUUCAGUUGUCGUUUUGGCUGGAGAACUUUUGAGGGAGGCAGAGAAGCUGGUAAACGCAAAAAUUCAUCCAAUGACAAUUAUAGCAGGUUUCCGGAUGGCAUCUGAGUGCGCGCGCAAUGUUCUGGAGCAGAAGGUCGUAGAUAACAAGCAGGAUGCAGAGAAAUUCAGAUCAGACUUGAUGAAUAUUGCAAGGACUACUUUGAGCUCAAAAAUCUUGUCUCAGGACAAGGAGCAUUUUGCAAAACUGGCUGUUGAUGCGGUUAUGAGGUUAAAGGGAAGUACCAAUCUUGAAGCAAUUCAGAUAAUUAAGAAACCUGGAGGGUCAUUGAAGGAUUCAUUUUUAGAUGAAGGGUUUAUUUUGGACAAAAAGAUUGGGGUUGGCCAACCAAAACGCAUAGAAAAUGCUAAGAUUUUGGUGGCAAAUACUGCUAUGGAUACAGAUAAAGUGAAGAUAUAUGGUGCACGUGUUCGAGUUGACUCAAUGGCCAAGGUUGCUGAUCUAGAAGCAGCUGAAAAGGAAAAAAUGAGAGAGAAGGUGCAAAAGAUCAUUAGUCAUGGAAUAAAUUGCUUUGUUAACCGACAGCUGAUCUACAAUUUCCCAGAGGAACUAUUUGCUGAUGCUGGGAUACUUGCAAUAGAGCAUGCUGACUUUGAUGGUAUUGAGCGGUUGGGCUUAGUUACUGGGGGAGAAAUUGCAUCAACCUUUGAUAACCCAGAGUCUGUCAAACUUGGCCACUGCAAACUUAUCGAGGAGAUCAUGAUUGGCGAAGAUAAGCUGAUCCACUUCUCUGGGGUUGCAAUGGGACAGGCAUGUACAAUUGUUCUGAGAGGUGCAAGCCCUCAUGUACUGGAUGAAGCUGAAAGAUCUCUGCACGAUGCAUUGUGUGUACUAUCUCAGACGGUAAAUGACAGCAGGGUUCUACUUGGAGGUGGAUGGCCCGAGAUGGUGAUG
rnacentral:misc_RNA from 1 species